rnacentral:rRNA from 1 species
UACGAAGGGUGCAAGCGUUGCUCGGAAUUAUUGGGCGUAAAGCGCACGUAGGCGGUUCGUUAAGUCGGAUGUGAAAGCCCUCGGCUCAACUGAGGAAGUGCACCCGAAACUGGCGAGCUUGAGUACGAAAGAGGAUCGCGGAAUUCCCGGUGUAGAGGUGAAAUUCGUAGAUAUCGGGAGGAACACCAGUGGCGAAGGCGGCUCACUGGCCCGGUACUGACGCUGAGGUGCGAAAGCGUGGGGGAGCAAACAGG